rnacentral:lncRNA from 1 species
GCCGGGGCUGAACACGGUGCUUGCGGGCCUGCGCGGGUUCCAGGUGAGCGCCGGCUGGGCUUGAUGGGAGGCUGAAUCCCGUUCGUGGACCGCCGUUGCCUCUUCGCGGGAUCGUUGGCCACAAUAGCAGGAAACCUAUGGCCUGCAUCAAUGAAAUAGCCAAGAUCAACCAGAAAAAGAAUAUUGGUCUCCCAUCUGCAAGACUGGGGAAAAAAUUAGAAGACUGAGGGGAUGAGGAAGGAAAGAAAACAGCCUAAUGGAGAAGAUCCUCAAACCUCAGACCUGGAAGUGAGCCUGGGGCUUCCCUAGUCUACCCCUGCAUUGCACAGAUGGGGAGACUGAGGCCCUAAGAGGCGGAAGAACUGACUCAAGCUCACUCUGUGAGUUGAGGGUGGAACUGGAACUGAACUCAGACCCACACCUCCUGGCAAAGUGCUCAAUGCCCUCUGCCCGCGCAGCCCUCCUGCUCUCCUAACAAGCUAGAGACACUAAAAGCUGCCUCUCCAGGAGAAUCGCUUGAAUCCGGGAGGCAGAGGUUGCAGUGAGCCAAGAUCGUGCCACUGCACUUCAGCCUGGCGACAGAGCAAGACUCCGUUUCAAAAUACAUACAUACAUACAUGCAUACAUACAUACAUACAUACAUACAUACAUACAUACAUACAAAAGCUGCCUCUCUAACCCCCAGACAUUUUGAAUUCAUGUUUUUGCCACAAAGUGUUCUUGGAAUCAAAGAAUCAAUUCAUUAAUCUGGGUAAUUAGUUUAGGAACCAGAGGGCUUGGAGACUGUGCUGUGAGAACAAUUCCAAGCUCAGUCUCUACACUGAAAAACCUAACUACCUCUGACCUGUGUCCACAGGUGACACCUCAGCCUCAGCCAGGAAAAAGCUGGAGGCUCUGCACACGCCUCCCCCAUCCCGCCCUCCCCAGUUCUUACCCCCAGAGGGACAUAUGGCUCAGGACAGGUAUCCUGUGGGCAGUGGGGCAGGGACACCCUCCUCCUGUUCCUCUCCUGUAUUUUACAAAUGGCAACAUGGAGCACAGAGAAAUAAUCUGUUCAUGGCCAUCCCACAAGCUAAUGACUAAAAAUUCUAGUCCUCUGUAUUAGUUUGUUAUCACGCUGCUGAUAAAGACAUACCCGAGACUGGGCAAUUUACAGAAGAGGUUUAAUCGACUUUCAGUUCCACCUGGCUGGGGAGGCCUCACAAUCGUGGCAGAAGGUAAAAGGCAGUCUCACAUGGCAGCAGACAAGAGAAGAGAGCUUGUGCAGGGAAACUCCCCUUUAUAAAACCAUCAGAUCUCAUGAGACUUACUCACUAUGAUGAGAAUAGCAUGGGAAAGCCCCGCCCCCAUGAUUCAAUUACCUCCCACCGGGUCCCUCCCAUAGCACGUGGGAAUUCAAGAUGAGUUUUGGGUGGGGACACAGCCAAACCAUAUCCUCUAUUUCUCAUUUCAAUGUUUUUCUUUCUUAUUUCAAUGUUUUUCUUUCUUUCUUUUUUUUCUUUCUUUUUUUUUUUUUAACAUUCAUUUCCAGUUGAUUCCAGCAGGGCAGCCCAGCACUUAGACAAGUCUACCCUGAAAGUGUCUGAAAGUGCUCAAAGUUUUCUUACUGAGUGUUAGUGGCCAGAUGGAAGGUAGGCAGGCUUGGGAGGCUCAGUGAAGUAUCAUCUAGCUACGCCAAAGCUUACGUUAGAGGAGAAGUAUUUAAGUAUGGGUUUGAGGCCUCAUGCUUCAAAAGAAUCACACAGAGAAAUAUUGUGGGCCUCUGGGAGAAAUUUGAGCCUUGGCUGGCUGCAAAGCUGCAUAAACAGUGGUGAUGACUGUGGUUAAUCCAAACCCCACUCCGAGCUCUGCAGAGUCAGUUCUGCCUAUGGCUCAUGAAAUCCCCACUCAUUACUGAACCCUUUUAGGGAGGAAGAAACUGACACAAGUAGCAGAGGCAGAAAGCCACCCUGGUCACAUCAUGCAACUGCUGGGAGAUGCCCUGUGUCAUAAAAGGUCACAUUUCUAAACGGCUAAUGCUAACCCCAGAUGCCAAAGCUGGGCAGAAGCAGGUUUGCAGAGCUCUCUAGAAUACGUGUUCUUGUGAGCUUCAAUGGCCCGGUUUUCUGCAAUUCAGGGCAGAUGACUCCAUGUCUGGGUUGCCCAUCCAUCAGCAAAGAUUUAUCAAGCUGGGCUAGUGUUAGGUGGUUUGGUAUAUAAAAAGAUUUAGAAACAUGUCCCAUCCCUCCAGGAGUUUGGUCUAGCCAAGGUAGUAAGACAAACUCACACCCAGAUACUGAAUAAAACCAGCCGGAUGUGCUCUUGCCCAGCAGCAGGCGUGGACUCUGCCCGCACAGGGAAUGUGAAUGGUGCCCUCUGCAGUUGUGCACCACCAUGGCCCAGGCUGGGGAGCUCAGAGGAAGAGCAGAUCCCAGUGGGCUGGGCUGGGCAGGGCAGGGCAAGGAGGGUGGCUGUUCUAUGCCCACAUCCCUCUUCUUCCUUUCUCAGGUGGCAGUCACUGGCUGAGUUUUCUAGCCAAUGGCAGAGGGCAUGAGACCCAGGGACAGGCCUGGUGAAGGGCUGGAUAAAGGAGCAUCACAGGGGAGGCCCACUGACCUGGCCACGCUUCCUAUUCAUGCCAAGUCCCAUGGGGCGUUCUGUAGCAUCGCUGCACCCCAGCCAGCCAGUCUUCAGCCUUCUGUCCCUCUGUCCCUCUGUGCCCCUUGAAUGGGGCCCAUCGUAGGUUGACUGGGCUAGCUCUUUGCCCCGCUUGUUGAUGCCACUUGUCAUUUCCCAUUUUUCCAAUCAAUCAUGUGAUGUGAAGGGCAAAAGGAAAGUGCCAGCUUUCCCAAAUGCCUCCCCUGAUGCCUUUCCAGAGGGAACUGUGAGAAGUAAAUGUUGUUUAUUAGUCACCGGGUCUAUUGUAUUCCACUAUAGAAACCCACAUGGACUAAAACAUCAGUCCAGCUUCCCUGGAUGGUUUCCCGGAAUCCACCUCCCAUCUCAUGAGAUGGCAAUGGCUAUCACAGCUCGGAGGAAUCUGACUCCACUUUCACUAUGAAAGUUUUGUCAUGUUGAGCUUUUAUGAAGUUACAUUUACUUCUUGGAUUAACUUAGAAACAGCCAAAUUAUACCCAUUUCUUGGAGUCUAUAGCUGUGUUUUAGUUUGCCCUUCUUUUAAAGGAAAGUCUAGAAUCCAAUGCUAAUAAAUACUUUGAUUAAAAUGUACUCCUUUUAAUGAGAUCAUGUCCUUUGCAGGGACAGAGAUGGAACUGGAAGCCAUUAUCCUCAGCAAAUUAACACAGGAACAGAAAGCCAAACACAGCAUGUUCUCACUUAAAGUGGGAGCUAAGCAAUGAGAACACAUGGACACAGGGAGGAAACAACACACACUGGGGCCUGUUGGGGGCGGGGGGCAUUGCGGGGAGGGAGAGCAUCAGGAAGAAUAGCUAACGGAUGAUGGGCUUAAUACCUAGGCGAUGGGUUGAUCUGUGCAGCAAACCACCACGGCACACAUUGACCUAUGUAACAAACCUGCACAUCCUGCACACGUACCCCAGAACUUACAAUAAAAGUUGAAGACAAAAAAAAAACCUAUACUCUUUUUAAGCUACACAAAAGGAAAGGAACAGAUCUUCCUCACACCCCUCAAAAGAAAUGAACUCGACAAACACCUUCAUCAGGAAGGUUGCCAGAACUAUGAGAUAAUCCAUUUCUUGUUUAAGCCACCCAGUUUGUGGUCUUUUGCUAUGGUAGCCCUAGCAAAACAAUGCAGAUGGUUUCUCUUUUUAAAUUGUGUAGCCAAUAUCUUUUUGCUCCUCCUCUGAAAUAAACCAGGUUCCAGGAGGACUUGGGUGCCACCAGGUCUGCUCACCGAAAUCCAUUGACAAGAUGCCACACAUUUCCACUACAUGGUGAGUCCCUCACUUUAGGAAUCAUGUUUACUGAUGCUUUCUGGAUUCUGCUGCCACUUGAACCUCAUAGCUCUUUGCCAGUUUCUCCUAUAUGGCUUCUGUCUAAUCUUAGCUGCUCUCAGCAGCCCUGAUUCAUAUUUUGAAGGCUAUGGAUUAUAUCUGCUCCCAAAUUUGCUGAAGAUAAGUUUACAUUUUUUGUUGUUUUUGUAGCAUUUAAAAAAGAAAAAAAGAAGAAAGAUGCUGAAUCUAUGUUACCACAUUCACACCAGAAGUCCUUAAAGUUAACAUUUAAUCCCAUAAUCCUAAGUAGUGAAUUCAGCAAAGCGCAUGGAAAGCACUUUUCCCAUGGUGAUAAUUACAUAGUGCUUUUCAUCUUCAAGGUAGUUGGCCAACACUUACUAAUUAAUUCUUCUAAUACCCUGGAGCAAUUAAAAAUAAAAACCACACAUUUAAUUUGACUAGAGGAGAUAAUUACCAAUAUCAGCAGACAAGAAAUCCUGCAAGGGACUAGAGAUGAAUAAUUAAAUUGUGGUGGAAAUAUUUCAAGGCAUGAUUGCCUUCUGCUUUCAUUACAGUAAGAACAUUAAACCUUGAUUAAGAAAGAAAUCUUAUUUCCCUUUUACAGGUGAAGAAACUGAGAUUCAGACAAGGAGCUUUUUGUUAAGCAAAUACUAAUUAGCCAAUAAUCUAAAUGGAAGUUAAUGGAGAAUUGUUUAAACUCAGUGCUAUGGUCUGAAUGUUUGUGUCCCUCCCAAAUUAAAAUUAAAAUUCUAACCCCAAGGUGAUGGUAUUAGGAGGUGGAUCCUUUGGGAGGUGAUUAUAUCAUGAGGGUGGAACCCUCAUGAAUGGGAUUAGUGCCCUUAUAUAAAAACCCCCUCACCCCUUCAACUAUGUGAGGACACAGCAAGAAGAUGCCAUCUGUGAACUGGAAAGCAGGCCCUGAUCAGACUCCAAAUCUACUGACACCUUGAUCUUGGACUUCCCAGUCUCCAGAACCAUGAGAAAUAAAUUUCUGCUGUUUAUAAGCUGCUCGGUUUAUCGUAAUUUGUUAUAGCAGCCUGAAUGGACUUAACACCUAUGGUAUUAAGAAUUUUGAGGCCAGGCAUGGUGGCUCAUGCCUGUAAUCCCAGCAUCUUGGGAGGCUGAGGUGGGUGGAUCAAUUGAGAUCAGGAGUUCGAGACCAGCCUGGGCAACAUAGUGAGACAUCGUCUCUAUUUUAAUUUUUUUUAAUGAAAAGAAAAAAGAAUUUGAAAAUCCUAAAUCUGCUUUUCGCCUCUAUUAAAAAAUCUUCAGGUGGCAGCUCUUAGUAUCCUAGAGUCACAUUCUGAAUAUUUGUAACCAUUGUCCACAAGGGCAGUCAGAAGGCUCAAGUUAGUGGUUUCUAAACUUACUUUUUGGUCUAAAACCUCUUCAUACUCUUAAAAAUUAUAGAGGACAAUGAAGAGCUUUUGUUUAUCUAAGGUAACUACUGAUAUAUCCUUUACUAGAAAGGAAAAUAGAGACAAUUUAAAAAUAUUUCUAAAUUGAUUUUAAAAUGACAACAAUAAGUCCAUUAUUGGUUAAUAUAGACAACAUAUUUUUAUAAAAAAUAACUACAUUUUUCAAAAUAUAAAAAAAGCUUGCAAGAAGAGUGGCAUUAUUUAAUAUUUUGCAAAUCUGCUUAAUGUUUUGCUUGAUAGAAUAGAUAGAAUAAAUGUGGAUAAAACAGAAUAGAUAGAAUAGAUACAUGUGGAUUCUCAUAUCUGCUUCUGAACUCAAUCUGUUGCGAUAUGUUUUUUGUUGAAAUAUAAGAAGAAAAUCCAGUCUUAUAGAUACGUAGUUGGAAAAGUGAGGAGUAUUUUAUGAGCCUUUUUAGAUAAUUGUGGCUAUUCUUUUUUGAUUCUAUACGAAAACAUAGUCAAUGGUAAUUCCUUAAAAGGUCAGUUGCAGUGUGGAAUCUGAAAC